rnacentral:rRNA from 1 species
GUACCAGACUCCUACGGGAGGCAGCAGCGAGGAAUAUUGGUCAAUGGCCGAGAGGCUGAACCAGCCAAGUCGCGUGAGGGAAGAAUGUCCUAUGGAUUGUAAACCUCUUUUGUCAGGGAGCAAAGUCACCCACGUGUGGGUGUUGGAGAGUACCUGAAGAAAAAGCAUCGGCUAACUCCGUGCCAGCAGCCGCGGUCAUACGUAGGAUCCGAGCAUUAUCCGGAGUGACUGGGUGUAAAGAGUUGCGUAGGUGGCAUAAUAAGUAGCUAGUGAAAUCUGGUGGCUCAACCAUUCAGACUAUUAGCUAAACUGUUAAGCUCGAGACCGUUAGGGGUAACUGGAAUUUCUAGUGUAGGAGUGAAAUCCGUAGAUAUUAGAAGGAACACCGAUAGCGUAGGCAGGUUACUGGGACGGUUCUGACACUAAGGCACGAAAGCGUAGGGAGCAAACGGGAUUAGAUACCCGAGUA